rnacentral:snRNA from 1 species
UUUUUUUCAGCAGCACAUACACGAAAAUGGGAACGGAAGGGAGGAGAUUAGCAUGGCCCCUGCACAAGCAAGACACGCAAAUCCGUGAAAAUGCU